UAGUCCGCGCUGUAAACGAUGUCAACUAGCUGUUGGAGGACUUGAUCCUUUAGUAGCGCAGCUAACGCGAUAAGUUGACCGCCUGGGGAGUACGGUCGCAAGAUUAAAACUCAAAUGAAUUGACGGGGGCCCGCACAAGCGGUGGAGCGUGUGGUUUAAUUCGAUGCAACGCGAAGAACCUUACCUGGUCUUGACAUCCUGCGAAUAUUUUAGAGAUAGAAUAGUGCCUUCGGGAGCGCAGUGACAGGUGCUGCAUGGCUGUCGUCAGCUCGUGUUGUGAAAUGUUGGGUUAAGUCCCGUAACGAGCGCAACCCUUGUCCUUAUUUGCCAGCACUUCGGGUGGGAACUCUAAGGAAACUGCCGGUGAUAAACCGGAGGAAGGUGGGGACGACGUCAAGUCAUCAUGGCCCUUACGGGAUGGGCUACACACGUGCUACAAUGGCAGUGACAAUGGGUUAAUCCCCAAAAACUGUCUCAGUUCGGAUUGGAGUCUGCAACUCGACUCCA
rnacentral:rRNA from 1 species